rnacentral:misc_RNA from 1 species
GAAAAAUACAUGGUGGGAAACAGAUUCUCGCUAAAAUAAUGUGAAACUUGCUAAUUUUCUAAAUGAUACAAAAAGUAACUCGAACCUUUCGUAAACUGAACUCUCUCUCUUUAGGUUCGCAUAUAGAUGCACCAAGAAAUAAUUGGAUUUUUUUUAAAAAAAAAUAAAUCUUCCCAUGUUUUCCUACUCCAUGAUUCAUAUGUAAAAAGUUAAACAAAAAAAAAAUCUCAG